rnacentral:snRNA from 1 species
AUACUUACCUGGUGCCGGGGCCUCAUUGAUCACUGAGGACGAGCCCUCAGGGCGGGACACGGCAUUGUACUGCACUCGUGUUGACCCCUGCUACUACCCCUACGUACUUAGGCAGAUGGAGCAUGAAAAUUCUUAAAUCCGGUUCAACGC